UUGAUCCUGGCUCAGAAUCAACGCUGGCGGCGUGCCUAACACAUGCAAGUCGAACGAGAAAGUGGAGCAAUCCAUGAGUAAAGUGGCGACCGGGUGAGUUACACGUGACCAAUCUACCCUUGGGUGGGGGAUAACCUCGGGAAACCGGGUCUAAUACCGCAUAACAUCUCUGGAUCGGAAGAACUGGAGAUCAAAGGAGUAAUUCGCUUAAGGAGGAGGUCGCGGCUGAUUAGCUAGUUGGCGGGGUAAUGGCCCACCAAGGCAAAGAUCGGUAGCCGGCCUGAGAGGGCGCACGGCCAUACUGGAACUGAAACACGGUCCAGACUCCUACGGGAGGCAGCAGUGGGGAUUUUUGCGCAAUGGGGGAAACCCUGACGCAGCAACGCCGCGUGGAGGAUGUAGUCCCUUGGGACGUAAACUCCUUUCGACCCGGACGAUAAUGACGGUACUGGUGGAAGAAGCCCCGGCUAACUUCGUGCCAGCAGCCGCGGUAAUAAGGU
rnacentral:rRNA from 1 species